GACGAACGCUGGCGGCGUGCUUAACACAUGCAAGUCGAACGGAAAGGCCCUGCUUUUGUGGGGUGCUCGAGUGGCGAACGGGUGAGUAACACGUGAGUAACCUGCCCUUGACUUUGGGAUAACUUCAGAAAACUGGGGCUAAUACCGGAUAGGAGCUCCUGCUGCAUGGUGGGGGUUGGAAAGUUUCGGCGGUUGGGGAUGGACUCGCGGCUUAUCAGCACGUUGGUGGGGUAGUGGCUUACCAAGGCUUUGACGGAUAGCCGGCGUGAGAGGAUGACCGGCCACGGUGAGACUGAGACACGGCCCAGACUCCGACGGGAGGCAGCGGUGGGGAAGCUGAGACAAUGGGAGCAACACUGAGCCAGCAUGGCCGCGGGAGUGAGGAAGGCCUUAGGGUUGUAAAGCACUUUCACCAGCGAAGAUAAUGACAGUACCGGGAGAAGAAGAACCGGCUAACUCCGUG
rnacentral:rRNA from 1 species